GACGAAUGCUGGCUGCGUGCUUAACACAUGCAAGUCGAACGGUGAAGGGGAGCUUGCUCCCCGGAUCAGUGGCGAACGGGUGAGUAACACGUGGGCAACCUGCCCCUCACUCUGGGAUAACUCCGGGAAACCGGGGCUAAUACCGGAUACGACCGGGAGCGACAUCGCUCCUGGUGGAAAGAACUUCGGUGAGGGAUGGGCCCGCGGCCUAUCAGCUAGUUGGUGGGGUAACGGCCCACCAAGGCGACGACGGGUAGCCGGCCUGAGAGGGCGACCGGCCACACUGGGACUGAGACACGGCCCAGACUCCUACGGGAGGCAGCAGUGGGGAAUAUUGCGCAAUGGGCGAAAGCCUGACGCAGCGACGCAGCGUGAGGGACGAAGGCCUUCGGGUUGUAAACCUCUUUCAGCGGGGACGAAGCGAAAGUGACGGUACCCGCAGAAGAAGCACCGGCUAACUACGUGCCAGCCGCCGCCGUAA
rnacentral:rRNA from 1 species